rnacentral:ncRNA from 1 species
GGAGCCUGCGGCUUAAUUUGACUCAACACGGGAAACCUCACCCGGCCCGGACACGGACAGGAUUGACAGAUUGAUAGCUCUUUCUCGAUUCCGUGGGUGGUGGUGCAUGGCCGUUCUUAGUUGGUGGAGCGAUUUGUCUGGUUAAUUCCGAUAACGAACGAGACUCUGGCAUGCUAACUAGUUACGCGACCCCCGAGCGGUCGGCGUCCCCCAACUUCUUAGAGGGACAAGUGGCGUUCAGCCACCCGAGAUUGAGCAAUAACAGGUCUGUGAUGCCCUUAGAUGUCCGGNGCUGCACGCGCGCUACACUGACUGGCUCAGCGUGUGCCUACCCUACGCCGGCAGGCGCGGGUAACCCGUUGAACCCCAUUCGUGAUGGGGAUCGGGGAUUGCAAUUAUUCCCCAUGAACGA